UGCAUUUCCUUGCUUGAUUCUAUCUCUUUCCCUUGUCCUUUGGUAUUACAAAUUUAGGUUGGGAAACCCUUUGCAUUUUUAGCAUUUCUCCCCCCCCAACCCAUGCUCUGUUUUAAGUCAAACCCAUGCCCUGUUUUCUUCUCAAAAUCCUUGUGCCAUGUGUUCGGUUGUGCUCUGUUUUAGGCACCAACCCGUGUUCUAUUUUUGGCCCCAUCCCGUGCCCCUAUUUUGGUCCAAGCCGUGAGCUCCAUUUUUGGUUUUGUUUGGUGGUGUGUUUUGUUGCUGUGAACGCCUUUGUCUAGCCACUAGCCUCCUCUUUUCAUCUUAUUUUGAUGUAGAUGAGGAUGUCGAGCUUGAGGUUUCGGCUCCAUCGGAGGAGUGACCUGUGGUCGAUUGUUGGCUUUGAGAUUUAUUUCCCAUUUCUUUUGUCGAUGUAUUUUGGCUUUGUGUUAUAUUUUGUAGGAUAAUUGUAUAACCUUUAAAAUGCUUUUAUUCUGGUGAAUUUGUAUUUAUAAUUCUGGUACUUAAUUGAUUAUCUUUUAUUUAUCCGUUGCGAUU